rnacentral:rRNA from 1 species
AUUGAACGCUGGCGGCAGGCCUAACACAUGCAAGUCGAACGGCAACAGGAAGCAGCUUGCUGCUUCGCUGACGAGUGGCGGACGGGUGAGUAAUGUCUGGGAAGCUGCCUGAUGGAGGGGGAUAACUACUGGAAACGGUAACUAAUACCGCAUAAUGUCGCAAGACCAAAGAGGGGGACCUUCGGGCCUCUUGCCAUCUGAUGUGCCCAGAUGGGAUUAGCUUGUUGGUGGGGUAACGGCUCACCAAGGCGACGAUCCCUAGCUGGUCUGAGAGGAUGACCAGCCACACUGGAACUGAGACACGGUCCAGACUCCUACGGGAGGCAGCAGUGGGGAAUAUUGCACAAUGGGCGCAAGCCUGAUGCAGCCAUGCCGCGUGUAUGAAGAAGGCCUUCGGGUUGUAAAGUACUUUCGGCGGGGAGGAAGGGAGUAAAGUUAAUACCUUUGCUCAUUGACGUUACCCGCAGAAGAAGCACCGGCUAACUCCGUG